rnacentral:rRNA from 1 species
UACGGAGGAUGCGAGCGUUAUCCGGAUUUAUUGGGUUUAAGGGGUGCGUAGGCGGCUUGGUAAGUCAGCGGUGAAAUUCAGAUGCUCAACAUCUGGCGUGCCGUUGAAACUGCCGGGCUUGAAUGCGGAUGCCGUGGGAGGAAUGUGUGGUGUAGCGGUGAAAUGCAUAGAUAUCACACAGAACACCGAUUGCGAAGGCAUCUCACGAAUCCGCGAUUGACGCUGAGGCACGAAAGUGCGGGGAUCAGAC